UCCUCUGUGGCGCAAUUGGCUAGCGCGUCUGACUGUUACUGAACUAUAUGACAGGAACAUCAGGAGGUUCGUGGUUCGAGCCCACGCGGAGGAG